rnacentral:rRNA from 1 species
AUUGAACGCUGGCGGCAGGCUUAACACAUGCAAGUCGAGCGGAGAUGAGGUGCUUGCACCUUAUCUUAGCGGCGGACGGGUGAGUAAUGCUUAGGAAUCUGCCUAUUAGUGGGGGACAACAUUCCGAAAGGAAUGCUAAUACCGCAUACGUCCUACGGGAGAAAGCAGGGGAUCUUCGGACCUUGCGCUAAUAGAUGAGCCUAAGUCGGAUUAGCUAGUUGGUGGGGUAAAGGCCUACCAAGACGACGAUCUGUAGCGGGUCUGAGAGGAUGAUCCGCCGCACUGGGACUGAGACACGGCCCAGACUCCUACGGGAGGCAGCAGUGGGGAAUAUUGGACAAUGGGGGGAACCCUGAUCCAGCCAUGCCGCGUGUGUGAAGAAGGCCUUAUGGUUGUAAAGCACUUUAAGCGAGGAGGAGGCUACUGAGACUAAUACUCUUGGAUAGUGGACGUUACUCGCAGAAUAAGCACCGGCUAACUCUGUGCCAGCAGCCGCAGUAAGAC